rnacentral:rRNA from 1 species
UGGGGAAUCAUGGUCAAUGGGCGAAAGCCUGAACCUGCGACGCCGCGUGAGUGAUGAAGGUCGUAAGAUCGUAAAACUCUUUUCAGGGAUCUUAAAGCCUGUCUGUCAACAACAGGCAGGUCUGACUCUCCCUGGAAGAAGCACCAGCCAACUACGUGCCAGCAGCAGCGGUAAUACGUAGGGGGCGAGCGUUAUUCGGAAUUACUGGGUGUAAAGGGUAUGUAGGCGGCCCUACAAGUCGCGUGUCAAAGUCCAGUGCUCAACGCUGGGUGUGCGCGCGAUACUGACGGGCUUGAGGGCUGUAGAGGUGAGCGGAAUUCCCAGUGUAGUGGUAAAAUACGUAGAGAUCGGGAGGAACACCAGCGGCGCAGGCGGCUCACUAGACAGUUUCUGACGCUAAGAUACGAAAGCGUGGGGAGCAAACA